GAUGAAGAACGCAGCGAAAUGCGAUACGUAAUGUGAAUUGCAGAAUUCAGUGAAUCAUCGAAUCUUUGAACGCACAUUGCGCCCGCCAGCACUCUGGCGGGCAUGCCUGUUCGAGCGUCAUUUCAACCAUCAAGCCCCAGGCUUGUGUUGGGGACCUGCGGCUGCCGCAGGCCCUGAAAACCAGUGGCGGGCUCGCUGUCACACCGGGCGUAGUAGAUUUUAUCUCGCUCAGGGCGUGCUGCGGGUUCCGGCCGUUAAAAAGCCUUUUUUACCCAAGGUUGACCUCGGAUCAGGUAGGAAGACCCGCUGAACUUAAGCAUAUCAAUAAGCGGAGGA
rnacentral:misc_RNA from 1 species